GGGAAGGUGGCUCAGUGGUAGAGUGCUUGCCUUGCAUGCAUGAGGCCGUGGGUUCAAUUCCUCAGCACCCCA
rnacentral:tRNA from 1 species